rnacentral:rRNA from 1 species
AACGAACGCUGGUGGCGUGCUUAACACAUGCAAGUCGAACGAGAAAGUUUCCUUCGGGGAAUUAGUAAAGUGGCGCAAGGGUGAGUAUCACGGUGAAUAAUCUGCCCUCGAGAUCGGGAUAACAGUGGUGAAAACGUAUGGCUAAUACCGGAUAAGACCACAUUUUCAUAAGGAAAUGCGGUAAAAGGAGUCUCAAUCUUCACUCGAGGAUGAGUUCGCGCAACAUUAGCUUGUUGGUGAGAUAAAAGCUCACCAAGGCUACGAUGUUUAGCCGGCCUGAGAGGGUGAACGGCCACACUGGAACUGAGACACGGUCCAGACUCCUACGGGAGGCAGCAGUGGGGGAAUAUUGCGCAAUGGGCGAAAGCCUGACGCAGCAACGCCGUGUGAGCGAUG